AGCUCCAAUAGCGUAUAUUAAAGUUGCUGCAGUUAAAAAGCUCGUAGUUGCAUUUCCGAGGCAAGGGAUUAGUCCGACCUUUGGUGGGUAUUUAAUCCUCUUGCCUCGUCCUUGAGUGGUGCUUCUUGGUAUUAAGUUAUCGAGGAGAUAGCCGCUCAUCGUUUACUGUGAGAAAAUUAGAGUGUUCAAAGCAGGCUUAUGCCGUUGAAUAUAUUAGCAUGGAAUAAUAAGAUAGUACCUCGGUACUAUUUUGUUGGUUUGAGAACCAAGGUAAUGAUGAAUAGGGACAGUUGGGGGUAUUCGUAUUCAGUUGUCAGAGGUGAAAUUCUUAGAUUUACGGAAGACGAACUACUGCGAAAGCAUUUACCAAGGAUGUUUGCA
rnacentral:rRNA from 1 species